ensembl:lncRNA
CUAUUUGAAAACCAUUGACUACCCACACAUCCAAUGUGGAAGCCUCAUCAAAACUUCCAGUGCAGCCAUUUUCAAAGAAAAUAUUUGCUUUGAUUUGAAAGGAAACAUUUUGCAGAAGAUUUUGAUCAAAAUUAAAAGUGAGACUGAAAUCAGUACAAGUAAUUCCAGGGAUUUGGGUCCUUCUGAAAUGAUCCAUAUGGUAACCAUUUUUUAAAAAAUUCAUUUGCCUAAUCACAAAACAGAAGGUUGGUGGGUUUUGGCUUUUUUUGUUUUUGUUUGGUUUGGAUUUUUUUAAUUCCAAUCUUGAGGAAAACUCAUACACUUUCAGGAAAGUUUUACAAGCAAUAAGAAAGGCAACUUUAGAAUUUACUUUAAAUGAGUUAUCCUUCAAACCUUUGCAAUUUUGACUGUGAGGUUACUGACACAGUGACAGUUUUCUACUGUCUGUGAUUCCAUUAUCCACACCUUCCUGAGUAGCAUACUCAACUUCAAGGUUAAUCUAAUGUAGGGUUUGAAAAGAACAAGACAUUGCAGAUGUACGUAAGAAACUUAAUCUUUGGGCAACUAUUCCAACAGAACCCAUUUCUUUUUUUUUCCCUACUUGCCUGCCUGAGAUGUUCAUUGUAAAUACAGCCAAUACUACUACCGAUUGAUGGCAGUGGGAAGCAGGUAUGGAAAAAGAAGCCCAAGAGACAGCUUGUCUUUACAGGACACAUCUCAAUAUCUAAGUAUAAGAAAAAGCCACAAAGGCCUUAAUCUCAUUUCCUUCAAAAGUGGAAAUUCAAGAAUUUAGCUAUUCCUUUUAGCAAAUUUACCUUUUCUAAUUUGAGCACAUCACAUUAAAAUGUUCAAUUCAGGAAUAGAACAUAAAUUUUAAAUCUAAUUAAUUAAAAAAAAGUGACUUAUUUUUCUUUAUAAACAAAGACAAAUUAAAAAUAACAGUCAAUGAAAUUGGCAGAAAACCUUAAAAUUUCAUACCAGGAAACCAAGGAUUACACAUAUGUAAAUAUAUUUUUGAAUUUCUAGAAAUUCUAUCAAAAGCAGCUCUUCUCCUUUAAAGUGGAUUUUAUAUAUUGAAAUGAACAUGAAAUAUAAUUUCAUAGUUCAAUGCAGAAAAUGGCCCUGCUGCUGUAACUGGUACUUCUAUACUGCUCCAUGCUCCUGAACUGAAGGGCUGUUAUUAAAUAAUAGUAGACAGUUUAAAUUUGGAGCUAAAUUUGGCACUAUCUUCAAGGAACACCAACACCAACCUCCUCCCUACUCACCCACUAGCCUCCCCCAGGAAACUAAGCAAUUGAAUGCACUUGUGGUCGAUGACAGAAAGAGAAGAUUAAAACCCUAAGCGAAUUCCUGCUUUAUUCCUGUGUCUUUUAAUGCAUAAUCAUCAACAACAGUAUUAACUGUCUCCCAUAAUCAGUUAUUUUGGCUCUCACUGGAAGGUGAAACAAUAGAUGUUUUGCUCUGUCUUCAAGAGAAAGUGGAUGCUGAAUCUCUAUCAAGAAAUAUUUUUUUUCCCAAUUAUGUAUGCUAAGUUUUUUUUAUUCAGUUAAAACAACUUUAUAAAAUAAAGUGAUUUAUACUGACAGCCUGGAAAACACUGAUCCCAUAUGCUUAAAUGUCACACUCACUGCGCUGUACUAUGCAAUAGAUUUAAAAUAUUACAUGAUGUUAUAAUUGAUAUUGUCACAAAAUAUUUUUAAACAUAAUAAAAUAUAAAAUACACUAUUUUCCCUUUCCUAUCAUGAAUCGUUUUAUCCUAUUCCUUUAAAGACUUGGAGUUAAAAGGUUUUCACCACAAUAAGCUAUUAACGUCAGCUGUUUCACAAUUCGUAACAUAAAUUUAUAACAAGUUUCUCUGUUUUUAACUACACGGGAACAUUGAGUUAUUUCUGAAGGCAAUGUUUCCUGCGAUUUCACUUUCUUCAUCAAAAGUCACCCAUAAGUCAACUGCUCCAGCUAUUUCAAAAUGAACUUUGUUUGAUGGCUUCAGUUUUUUCUCUCCCUUCUGGCUAAGGAGUUGCGAAGCAAAGCAAAGCAGAACAGGUAUUGGUGCACUGUAUUACAGAUAGGAUCAAAUGCCAUAUAACACGAAGCAAUUGUUUUGUAGCCAAUAGCUAACUUCUAAUAACUGAAUCACAAAAUUACUGUUCAUUUCUUGCUAACUGAAAAAAAACUUUCGUUGCAAACAUCACCUUGCUGAAAGCUUUGAACAUUUUUCUCUUUUGUUUUUACAGGCACAGUAAGCAACAAACAAUGCCCCUCACUCCACUCUGCAAUACACAGUAGGUUGAUUUCUGCACUGACAUUUGUUAAAUUAAAACUUCUGAUUCAUUUCAUUUUAAUCUUUUAGAGUGGAAUAGUGAAUUUGCAGAGUAAUUGUAUUUUGCUCAAAAGAACAACAACCCAGAUCCCAAAUGCUGUUGUUUUAAAAGCUUCAACAGUUUGGAGUUGCGUCUGGUUUUUCUGCCCUGCAGACUGUGCUCACUUCAAGAUGAUCGAUGCAGAGGGAUGAGGAUCCUUUAGAAACUGUCUGAUGUUGCAGUACCUGAAUGUUACCCUAACUAGUCAUAUGAAGUUUCUUCUAUUCUGCUGGCUGACAUAAGGUGCAUCUACAUUGGCUUUUUGGCUUGGAUGAGCAGUGAGUGUUCUUCUCAAGUGAUUUUUCUGAUUAUUGCACUGACCAGACUACAGCUGACGCCACAAUGUGGCCUCAGAUCCAACAGACUGAGUUUCUUUUAUACGAAAUUCGAAUAGGAUCUAAACUGCUGGUGGGCUUAACUACAGUUCAGCCAAAGUGAAUUCCCCCAAAUGCAUACAAUAGCCAUGUCAGGUCCUUAGCACAAACAGCUUGGCUCUGAGGAUCUGCUCCUCUUACACUGCACUGCUUGCUAAGGUAGACAUAUAAUUAUAACAGCCUAUCUUCAGAUCCUAAAUUAAUAGUGAUAAACCUUAGGAAGUCAACUGCCAGGUCAAGAGCAUACCCAACACCACCAAAGCAAAAGAUAGGCCUGUUUGGAAGGCUUUUUCCUCCAUACAGGAGAGGUACUAGAAAAACUUUUUACUUGGAUAGUUUUACAGCU